AUUGAACGCUGGCGGCAGGCCUAACACAUGCAAGUCGAGCGAGCGGAGGACGGGUGAGUAAUGUAUGGGGAUCUGCCCGAUAGAGGGGGAUAACUAAUGGAAACGGUGGCUAAUACCGCAUACUAUCGGAUGAACCCAUAUGGGAUUAGCUAGUAGGUGGGGUAAAGGCUCACCUAGGCGACGAUCUCUAGCUGGUCUGAGAGGAUGAUCAGGCACACUGGAACUGAGACACGGCCCAGACUCCUACGGGAGGCAGCAGUGGGGAAUAUUGCACAAUGGGCGCAAGCCGGAUGCAGCCAUGCCGCGUGUAUGAAGAAGGCCUUAGGGGUGUAAAGUACUUUCAGCGAGGAGGCGUUACUCGCAGAAGAAGCACCGGCUAACUCCGUGCCAGCAGCCGCGGUAAUAC
rnacentral:rRNA from 1 species